CAACUCUUCUGUAACUGGUGAUCUCUCCUUCCACCAACCCCCAGGAGCAAAGACUGCUGCCCUGUUUUAUCCACCGGCUGCCACUCACUAUGGUGUGUCCCUCCAGGACCUAGCUUCAGACAGGGACCCAGUGGAGUACUGGUGUAUCUGUAUACCAGUGUUCACAGCAGCACACAACAGCCAAAAAGCAGAAACAACCCAAGUAUCCGUCAACAGCAUACAGGAUCUUCAUUCCCCAGCUGGGGAUUGAACCAGCGUCCUCAGCGGUGAAAGCAUAAGGUCUCAACCACUGAACCACCAGGGAAGUCCCCGUGACAAUUGUUUUUUAAAGCUAAUUAACAAUAAUGAGUGGCAAAGUAAUUAUUGGAUCAGACCACUCCGAAGCAAAAACAAAACAGUGUGAUACUGGGA